rnacentral:sRNA from 1 species
ACUAAAACAGUUCUUACUCAACUAAAUACUUGAACUACCUCAACGACAACGGGAAAUUUAAUUGAACACCUAUUAAAGAUAUAGUGUUCUUCUCUAUUUUAGAUUUAGUAAUCCCUAAAGGAGAAAAUUUACGCCAAAUGUGUACCAAAAAAAGAGAAAUUUUUGGCGAUUACGUUA